UUAUGCUGUAGACUCAGCGGGAGCAUACUGGCAAACGUUUACAGCUGAGGAUACAUUUGAGUAACUGAUAAGGUCAAAUUAACAGAAACUGACAUGCUCAAUUGGUCAUUCUAUUGAAGAGACACCGUCUCCCCCCACGCUUUAUGGCCUGGUCUCCUCCUGUCAGGAGCACAACACCGGUUCUGUGAUCUUUGGUUGUUUGGCGAUGGACUAUUCCCCUGACGUCACCGAGGUAACCUGGAAGAAAGGUGGGGAGCUAAUCAAGACUGGAUUGAAGACUUACCCAUCAGUGAGUAACAAGAAGGGAACCUACACCCUGAGCAGCCAGUUAACCCUGCCCGGGUCAGCGGUAGAUUGCCCCAGCAAAAUCUCCUCUGAGGUUCAACACAGCGGGACACACAAGAGCAAAGAAAUGCCAUGUCCAGAUCCAGAUAUUCUCCCACCAACUCUUCUCCUAACUGUGCGCUCCAGUGAAGAAAUCGCAAGCAGCAAGUUUGCAACCGUCGUCUGUUCAAUCAUCGAGUUCCAUCCGAAGUCAAUCUCCGUGAGUUGGUUGAAAAAUGGCCGACGCUUGGAUUCUGGCUUCUUCACGUCUCCCGUGUGUGAGGCGAACGGGAACUUCUCGGUGACGAGUCGGCUGAUGGUCCCUUAUGGUGAAUGGUACAACAGUGCGGUCUAUACCUGCCAGGUCACUCAUGGAGAGAACACUCAAAGUAAAAACAUCACCGCACUCCAGGGUAAGAGACACAGACUGAGAGAGCUACAAAUCAUUCUGAACUCUGAUGUGAAUCAAACACACUAAUUUAUCAGGCGGAGUAAACAGCA